GGACGUGUGGCCCAAUGGCAAGGCGCUUGACUACGAUCACUACAGUAAUCAAGAGAUUCCAGGUUCGACCCCUGGCACGUUCA